UAUGUGUGUGUGUGUGUGUGUAUGCCACAUUCUCUUUAUUGAUGGAGAAGAUAGAUGGUCCUGAAGAAUGACAGAGCAUUAUGGCAAACUUAUUCUGGCUAAUCUACUGUGACACUGAUGACAUCAUCCUGAUGGACCUUGAGAACAGGAAGUAGGAGAUGCCCCAGAUGACUUGGGUCACUUGAAAGCUGUCAGCUUUACGGGGGACCGUAUGAGGAGGGAAGGUUUUCUUACUGGAUCAGGUUGCAGAGUAAGUACUUCUACCUCUGGUCUUUAUAUUUAGGCAUUGGAUUUUGGAACAAACU